GUCCCCCUGGUCAAAGCAAAGCAGGAGACAUGGGAAUGCUUGGGCCCUUGGACCAGACAUUGUGAGGAAGCUGCUGGUUGGGUAAAGGCAUCAGACUCAGGUGUGGAUUUUCACAACCAACUUCAGGUAUUCCAGAAAAGAUUUUCAGCUAUAGCAACAGGGGUAAGAGGCAUUGAGCUCAUUCCAGGUUCAGAGUUUUUAAUGGCCAGUUUGGUAACAUCAGAUGAUGAAAUAAGUCAUGACAAAAACAUUUUUGUGAAAGACAUCUCAGAAAUUCCUGAGUUAAAUCAGGUAUCAUCCUGCUUGUGGGCACAACAUAAGUAUGAUGUAGGAUUAAUCAAAGAUGCUGAGCCUGUAGUAAUCACACCAAAAUCGUCAUACAGGCCGUGUCAGAACCAAUAUCCUUUGAAGAAGGAAGCUGUUGACGGUAUUAAACUGGUGUUUGAUUCUCUUUUAAAAGCAGGAGUGAUUAUUCCAUGCGCAAAAUCUCUAGUCUGGACACCUAUUUUCCCCGUACGAAAACUCCGGGGCGCCGGAGAGCCACAACAUUGUAGAUUCGUGCAGGACUUGCAGGCGGUAAAUUCAGCAGUACAUGCAAGAGCACCCACUGUUCCCAACCCACACACAAUACUCUCACAGGUGCCACCUGGGAGUAAGUGGUUUUCAGUUGUUAAUCUGGCUAAUGCUUUUUUCAGCAUCGCAGUGGAUCCUGACAGCCAGUAUUGGUUUGCGUUCUCUUUUGAAGAUAUUGUACAUGGGAAAGGUCUUGCAGCAAAAGACAAAGUCCACUGGACACCAGAAGCGGAGAAGGCUUUUGUGGACUUAAAGCUGGCCCUCCAGACACCCCCAACGCUUGGUCUCCCUGACAGUAACAGACCUUUCACGCAGACUGUUGACGAGAGGGGUGGGUUCAUGACUUCUGUACUACUACAAGAACAUGGGGGGAGGCUGAGACCAGUCGGCUAUUUUUCCAACAAGCUUGACCCUGUAGCAGCUGGGCUGCCAAAUUGUCUGAAGGCUGUGGCGGCUGCAGAGAAAGCUGUUAUAGCCUCACGUGACAUUGUGGGUUAUGCUGAUCUGACACUGUUGGUUCCACAUGCUGUCUCAAUGAUAUUGCUUGAACAGAAAACAUCACAUCUCUCAACAGCCAGGUGGUUAAGGUACAACACUAUAUUGCUUGAAACACCUAAUAUCACUGUUAAGAGAUGUACAGUGCUUAACCCAGCAACUCUCCUCCCUACAGCGGCAGACAGUGAACCUCACGAUUGUGUGGCAGUGAUAACAGAGACUUGCUCCCCAGAUCAGAUCUGCAGGAAACACCAUUGAUCAAUCCAGAGCUGGAGCUGUUUGUUGACGGUUCAGCAUCACGACAUCCAGCAACUGGCAAACCCAUUGCACAUCACACACUGGUUGCUGAACUCUUGGAUGCUGUGCUGUUGCCUAAGAAGAUUGCCAUUCAUAAAUGUGAAGCACACACUAACAACCUUGAUUCUAUCUCACCGGGGAAUGCCAGAGCGGAUAAGGCAGCAAAAGCUGCUGCCAAACAAACACCGAUCACUCAUUGUGUUGCAUUAACUAAUGAACCUCUGACACCUACAGCUGAUCUGCAGGGACUGCAGACAAGAGCAACGGCAGAGGAAAAAGCAGUGUGGCGAAAGGCAGGCUGCACUAUCACAGAGAAAGUGUGGUAUGGAUCAAGUGACAGACCAUGCUUACCGAAGUAUCUGUUCCAUUAUUAUGUUGUGUUGACCCAUGGGCGAGACCAUGGGUCAAAGAGGAGCAUGGUGCUGGAGCGGAACAGAUGCUGGUUCGCAAAGGGAUUUAAUAACUUCUCUCAAAAAUUUAAUUUUGCCAAAAAUGCAGAUGGAUUUCAUUGAGCUGACACCCAGUGAGGGAAAGAAAUAUUGUUUGGUCAUUGUUGACCAAAUGUGGUCAAUGUUCUCUAAAAGGGUAGAGGCCAAACAAGAUUCACCAGCAGUAGCAAGGAGUCUUAUACGAGAUAUCGUCCGAUGCUGGGAUAUUCCAGAUAAGAUCUCUAGUGAUAAUGGUACACCUUUCAUGAGCGCAGCAUUGAAGAGUGUAGGAGAGUAUCUUGGUAUUGAUUUAAAACAGCAUUGUGCUUAUCACCCAACCAGCGCAGGAGCCGUGGAGAGGGAGAACAGUUCUCUGAAAAACAAGCUUGCUAAGUGUUGUGAUGAGACAGGGCUGCCCUGGACAAAAUCACUGCCCACUGUUCUGAUGUACAUGAGGUCCAGGAUAAGAAGCAGGGGGGGUCUCAGCCCUUUUGAAAUCCUAUUUGGCAGGCCAUUUAACACUGGUAUUGGGCCAGUGAAAAGACGACUUCCUGACACCAGCCAAUGUGAGGAUGAGAUGCUACGCUAUUGCACAAACUUGUCCUCUGUGCUUUCUGAUAUUCACAAACAGGUGAAGGAAGCCAUUCCAAAGGCUGCAGAGAGGAAACUGCAUGACUUGGAGCCUGGUGAUUGGAUCGUGGUGAAGGAUUUCAGACAGAAGAACUGGCGGGCUUGCAGGUGGAAUGGUCCCUACCAGAUCUUGCUCACCACUGAAACAACUGUAAAGGUGGCAGAGAGAGCUAUGUGGAUCCACGCCACCCACUGCAAACGAGUACCCGAGCCAGGGCCAGCAGCCAAACACCAGACAAGUGAGAUCGAGAUCAGUGAGUGAACCGAACCUUCCUCCCCUUGUGCAUUCAGGGGGUAUUGGAGGGGAGUGGCGGUCCCGUGGGGGAGUUUCUCUGAGCACAGAAAUUCCACUGGGACCCCUUAGAAUCGCUACCCUCCCGAACCAACAUCACGGGCACACUGAUUAGGGUGUAGGCAGAGGUGACACAACUGAUAAGAUGACACUUGAGACCAGAGAAAGAUGGCGAUGGAGGGGUGACGGACUGAGAGGCCAUGGAGACGGGGUGCUGCUUGCUGUCAUCAUUGUCCUGUCAUCACUAAUGGAAACAUUCAAAUCACAACUAACCCUAGAAGAAGGAGGGGUCAAAAGGGAGGUGCCAUCCAUCUUCCCCAACAUCCCAGCUCAGCUGGAAGACAACGUAUGGUAUGCAACUAUACUGACUACUGCCAGAAAAGUGACUAACCAGAGCUGCUAUGCCUGUGUGCAGCUUCCCCAUGGGAUGGGGGAUUCCAUCCCAGUGAAACCCAUGCCAUUAAAUGUCUCUGAGACCCUAGGAGUCAUGGUGGCAUUCACCCGGGGGGUUACUUUGCAGGACAGAACAGUGAGAGAGAUGGGAGCUGCACUCAAGCCAACUACGACGGCUCCACAGCGAGGUUUUGGAACAUGAGCCAAAUAACCGGUAUGGUUGGAUUCACCAGACAGUGCUACACAUCUAGAGAUCACGUCCUGGGGACUUCAGCAUGCAAACAGAUGAUCAAUGAUUGCUACAGCAAUUAAAUCAUCUAUGGGUCAGUAUAUGAAUAUGCCAAUAGAAACAUCCAGCUCUGUUGAAUGGAUUCCACUGUUUGAUAAUGAGAUGAUUUGAGGAGAAUAAAAUUGCAUGUAACCACACUGGAUUUUGAAGUAUAAUGCGAAUUUAGAAUAAAAUGCUCAUGUAUGCUCAUAUAUUACUGCUCGAGCUAUUUACUUAAUGGUUACAGUUAUAAUAAUAAUAAUAGUUCUGUUGUUUUGCUGAUUCACGCAUGCUUAUUGGUUAUAACUUAUUUUUCUGGUUUAGUCUCAUUACAUUUUUUUAGUUCAUUUCUAUUUGUGUCCAGUUAUAAUGAUAAUGAUUGCUAGUGACAGGCUAUUGAAUUAAAGUUUGCUUGAUAAGCUAAUGAUAAGUAUGUGUGGGGUUUUUCUUCCUCUGACACUUGAGGUUUUCCCCACUUGUCUGGUUGUUUGAUUUUUCCUUUCCUACUUAACGUUUGUUCUUAAUUAUUUUGAUUAGCAUUUAUUUUAAGAUGA